rnacentral:rRNA from 1 species
UACGGAGGGUGCAAACGUUGCUCGGAAUCAUUGGGCGUAAAGCGUGUGUAGGCGGUCUGUUAAGUCGGGUGUGAAAGCCCUGGGCUCAACCCAGGAAGUGCAUUCGAAACUAGCAGACUUGAGUACGGGAGAGGGUCGCGGAAUUCCCGGUGUAGAGGUGAAAUUCGUAGAUAUCGGGAGGAACACCAGUGGCGAAGGCGGCGACCUGGACCGAUACUGACGCUGAGACACGAAAGCGUGGGGAGCAAACAGG